GCCUCUGGUGGCUCCACAGCAGAGCCUCUGGAUAUACCUUGCUGGAAACAGCCGCCAAAUCUGCCUCCAAUACCCAAAGAGCUGGCUGCGCAGAUGCAGCACAGCACAGCUGAGCUAUGCAAAGAUCUGCACGGAAGCAUCAUGUACAGCCAGAGCCGUGACCACAGCACGGGAGGCUCACACCACAGCUCAGACAGAGGCAGCAACAGCACCUCAGGGAGUCACAAUCAAAAGAAAGGAAUGCAGGUCCAGAAGAUGCCAAAACAUAAUGCAGUAACCUGGGGGGAA